GAACGCGGCGGACACGGGACGGAUCGGCUCGAAUCCGGAACGAGGUGGCAUCGCGAUUUAUUUAAUUCGAUACGUUGUGAGUGCUACGAUGAAAUCAAAUAGCAAUGGGAUAGAAGAGAAGAGAAGCCGAGGAGGCAGCCAGGUGCAGCAGGAGGUCAAUAUAACUCCUCUGUUGUGUGAUGCGUAAAAAAGAGGGUUUAGAUGGAAGAACCCGAGGAGGAUGGAAUUAACAACCCGAACAGUCUGAGAUAGUGAAAAUAACACGAAGAGUCGCAUCGAGGGAAUCCAAGCUGACAACCUGCGAGGACCAGCCUAAGAGGAGGAGGAGGCCUGGGAGAGGCAUCGGGCACCAGCGGAACAACUUUGCGAAUCAACGUAGCUACGAUUGCAGAUAUAAUUCCGCUGUUGCGCAUCGGGGUCGGUGAGUGAUAAAUAUACAUAUUUGCGCUUUUUUAUUUCGGGUGAUCGCGGUCAUAUCUGUAGGUAUAUCAGAUAGAGAGAUACGGAUAGGUAGGAAUACGGGUAAAAAUUAGAUAAAAAUCAGCAGAAAAAAAGCAGAAGCGCUUAGUGAUUCUUUAUAACAUAUGAUUGGUCCUUGCUUUUAGUUUCUUGUUGGAUCUAAGCAGCUAUUUAAAUGAUGUUUCUAUUGAAAUAUUUACAAAAUGACAAAUUCCAUUCGGUUUCUGUUGAUAAUCCGCUGUCAGAUUGUAUCGACAGGCUUUGCCGGCAAAAUACAAGUUUAAUGCGGACACAGUAGAUACCGAAUCUGUUGCGAUACUUGAGCAAAUCCGCUGCCAAUCUGUUGUCAUACCGCGGCCGCCGGUUUGUUUCAGAUUAAAUGUUUUUAAUAUUUCCAAAUUGGAUGAAUUUCGCAUUGCAACGAAUGUUUUGUCAAGCGUUGUACAUGACUACAUGAGUGAUAAAUUAAGAAAAACUUGCGGGUUUGCGAGUUCAAGGAAACAACGACUAAACUAUUCAUCAAUUUAUUCGUGUGCAAGUCAGCCACAAAGGAAAGAUGCGCCGAUCGAUUUCAUGAUUCAACGAGGGGACAGAUUUCGAUUUUACAUAUGUAUGAAUCGGAUAAGAGCUACGA